rnacentral:rRNA from 1 species
ACUCCUACGGGAGGCAGCAGUAGGGAAUCUUCCACAAUGGGCGCAAGCCUGAUGGAGCAACACCGCGUGAGUGAAGUAAGGGUUUCGGCUACGUAAAGCUCUGUUAGUUAAAGAAGAACACGUAUGAGAGUAACUGUUCAUACGUUGACGGUAUUAACCAGAAAGUCACGGCUAACUACGUGCCAGCAGCCGCGGUAAUACGUAGGUGGCAAGCGUUAUCCGGUAUUUAUUGGGACGUAAAGAGAGUGCAGGUCGGUUUUCUAAGUCUGAUGUGAAAGCCUUCGGCUUAACCGGAGAAGUGCAUCGGAAACUGGAUAACUUGAGUGCAGAAGAGGGUAGUGGAACUCCAUGUGUAGCGGUGGAAUGCGUAG